UAGGGAAUCUUCGGCAAUGGACGAAAGUCUGACCGAGCAACGCCGCGUGAGUGAAGAAGGUUUUCGGAUCGUAAAACUCUGUUGUUAGAGAAGAACAAGGACGUUACUAACUGAACGUCCCCUGACGGUAUCUAACCAGAAAGCCACGGCUAACUACGUGCCAGCAGCCGCGGUAAUACGUAGGUGGCAAGCGUUGUCCGGAUUUAUUGGGCGUAAAGCGAGCGCAGGCGGUUUCUUAAGUCUGAUGUGAAAGCCCCCGGCUCAACCGGGGAGGGUCAUUGGAAACUGGGAGACUUGAGUGCAGAAGAGGAGAGUGGAAUUCCAUGUGUAGCGGUGAAAUGCGUAGAUAUAUGGAGGAACACCAGUGGCGAAGGCGGCUCUCUGGUCUGUAACUGACGCUGAGGCUCGAAAGCGUGGGGAGCAAACAGG
rnacentral:rRNA from 1 species